rnacentral:lncRNA from 1 species
UGGGUCCCGACUAGCUCACAAAAGGCAUAGACCGAUCGGAUAUCUAGAUACCUCUAACCGGGCGUGUUCGUUACCUGCGUAGGAAGAAGCAAUACUACUCCUCGAUCUAAUCACUAUUAUUGAUGAUCAUAAUAUUGCUUCAUUUUUCACUAUUCAGGACCUAUGUCGCGAUCGUUAAGCCUCCGUAGCAACCCGAGAUCGUUCUCAACAAAAUCCCACGCGGCAAAAGGAUUGACAAGUCACAUUUCCCCGACCCAGCUACGUACGGUACCACUACGUAGUAUGCACUCCGUGCUAUGUGUGGUAUUAAGUACAGAUCACACGAGAAGGCAAAGGACGAUUGACCCUUGCCAUUCGUUGCAUCUCCAAACAUUGCAUAUUCCCGUCGCAGAUCACAGAAAACAGGCAAGCCACAUCGCGGUUCCAAAAUACCGGCACCAUCGCUUAAGCAUUGAGCUCGUUGCCCUGCUCUGCAAUGCAUAGUCCUGACGCUGACAGGCAGGCAAGGACCGUUACGCACGGCUGCCGAUCAAUUCUUCUCUAUUUCUUCUCGACCACGAAGAAUGACGAAACUAGUAGACAUUGCCUUGGAAAACGAGAGAUUAAACCUCCACCAAGCUGUGUUGAUGAAGUAUGUACUCCGGAACCUUCAUGCAAUAGUGCUGGUAUCUUCGAUCUGAAAUGCAUUCUUGAAGCUAGUCUUCGAGCAGGGCUUUGACAGGCUGAAUGUGUUUUGACAGGGAUCCACACCUGGUACCUACCUGUGGGCCGCUGAACGGAUUGCGCUAGGACAAUGAUUUGGAAUUAUUGUGCUCCACAGUUGAUCCCCAAGCAUUGCCGUUGAGUCUGGGAUAAUCUAAAGUACGUAUCCCUAAAAUUGAAAUUGAGGUUGACAAGGAUAUCGGCGUCUCGGUGACCAUGGGUAUGUGCAUAGUCAAUAGGUAGCCCAAGCUUCGCUCGGGUUUUGACUGAAGAAUCGUGCAGAGUGGCACAUGUAGCACAUGUCGAUAAGUAAUGAACGCUGCAAACAAAGGGAAAAUCAUGGCGGGGAAGAAUACCCCCGUAGUAGGAAGACGCAGUUCGGUAGUAGUCAGGUACCUAGACCAUAGAUUUCAUUGACGGCAUGCCGUAUUUCAUUUGGCGAUCUUGCAAAAUCCUUCUCCCCAACAGACCGUGGAUCUCCGAGAUUGUCAUCGCUGUACGCUCAUUCGUUCCCAAACAUUCGAAACUAAACAGGGGUACGGUUCAUCUUUCCAAUAAUAAUAUCGCGAAUUAUAGUAUACAUCGACUCAAAGAUGAGCUGAAUCGGGAAGCUCAGAUUAGAGGGUGUAGAUUAAUUAAUCCAACACAUACGGAGUACGCACUUGAGAAUAAGAGCUCCUUGAUGUCUAUUUUCGCCCGGAAUCAAUAUCCCCGACCAAUCAAUCAAGGAUAACUACCUAUCAAUUCUGACGCAUUGUCCUUUCACACCUAAAAUUAAGAACAUUUCCCCCAAAGUGCCAGCGCCAACGGCUGUCUGAAGGUGGUUAGGGCUUGCCGCUAAAAUAACGGCGCGGCCCCUCUUUCAUUUGUGACCCUUUUGUUGGUCUUGUAGGCUUGUGGUGUUAGCAAAACUAAAUUGACAGGGCUUGAUGACUUAGUAACAAGCGGCCCGAUGACCAAUGAUUUCAUUGAGUUGGCGAGUAACAAGGAUAUGCCUGGUUCAACAUCAUCACUUUGACACCUCCGGGACCGGGAAGGAUUUCGCCUCUAGAUGAAGAGGUCAUUAAUUGGCCCUUCGCUUAUAUCAUUUGACCUGAUUGACUUGAUUCAAAUUAUGUCUUGACAUCCAGACACUGGAAAUGUAAAUUUUUAGCUUGGGUAUCUACGUGGUAGUGAGUGGAGAUCACCGCCCGUCAUUACUCUGUAAACAACUGAUCUGCCCAUGUUCCUUUUUCUGUAUAUUGCGCCUAG